rnacentral:rRNA from 1 species
AUGCUGCUGGUGGACGCCUUCAAGGCGGAGCGCGAGGAACUCCGACAAGAAAUUCCUGGUCUCAAACUGGCACUUGGCGAGUCCGAGACCAGCCAGGCGACCGCACGGCAUGCCCAAGAUGACGCCGCGGCCAAGCUUGCUUCCCUUUGGCCUCCCAUAAAGGACGUUGCCGGCACAACUAAGCAGGCUGUGGGCGGGGCAGGUCAAGAGCAGGAGCAACGCGGACAUCUAAGGCCGCUCCCCUCAUUAGAGCUCUGGUCCCGCGGUGCUCUGAGCUCCAUCUGCAGGGAGAAGCUAGAAGCUCCCCUCAGGCCGCACGACGUCGACUUUGCCGAAUUCUCCUCCAAGCUCGUGGAGCAGCUCAAAGACGGGGCUCGGAAGGUGGAUGGCAUCCUGGAGGAGUGUCGUGAUCUCUUCGUUCAGGCGGCAAUGCAUGUUUUCAGCCACCUCCUCCACGGUGAUCCUGACUUCGACUUUGACAGGGUGAUAGCUCCCGUUCCUGAAGCCGUAGGAAGCCACGUGGAUGCGCUUCUCAGGAAGUUCUCAUGUGGCUGCGGUACGAGCUCUGAUGCGGUUGAAGAAAUCGAGGCGACGGGGCCGACAGUGGCGGUGGUGGCGAUGGCAAGGCUUCCUCUUAGACUUCCUUCCUCAUUAUUUUGUAACAAACUGAUCCGGCCUUGUGGAGGCGUGAAGACAAUGGUUUUUGUUUAG